rnacentral:lncRNA from 1 species
UGCCACUUUAGCCGAAGGUAUCAAGUAUCAAUCCAGAGGUGGCAACCACAUGGAGAAGCAUGAAUGCUGCUAGAUUUACAGGAAUGGAAAAUUUCCGAUUCAGCUUGCAGAUGAUUGACUGAAUGGUGGUCUUGUAUGGAGAAAGUUGAUAGGAAGAAUAUAUUUUUAAUGGAACAGUGAGUCACCAGCCAGUCCUCCUGUAGCUGUUUCCCAUAGCUGGUCACCUACCAAAUCUGACAGUGAUAAAAUCUCAAUGGUUCCAGCAUCAGCUGGCCUCCAGAUUUCUACCCUGGGGUCCCAUGGAAAGGACUUCAGAACAUCGAUUCUGAGAAUGACACUGAUGUCACUCCUGGAAGUGUCCCUACUGCACUCGCCAUCAACACCACCA